rnacentral:pre_miRNA from 11 species
AAAUGCUUUCCGUAUGGAAGACUAGUGAUUUUGUUGUUUGGUCUCUGCUAAUAACAAUAAAUCCCUUGUCUUCUUAUGGCGCGCAUUC